UAAGUUGCAGAGCGAACUCGGACUUGCUGAUACAGUCAGAUGCUGUGAACAGAUUAGUGUGCCAUAAAAAGCUUCAAGGUCUCGAUAGCAGGGUACGAGACGGAUCGCAGCACGUGAUAGCCGUGGCUAGCAGCUACUGAGAGUCGUAGGAGUAAGGAAUAAUGCUCAAUGCGAGCAUGCUGUGCAGGAACGCGUCGGUAUGUAGAUCGUAUGUACGAAACAAAUACUAGAAGAAACGUGCGUUCUGAGCGAUCUGUAGAAUAGCGCGAUAAUCGCCACACGGCCAUCAUACGGUAGAGAGUUUAUAGAUUAUCGGAUCAGCGGUCAAGGUCUAUCAAGACAGAUUAAUCAGUGAAUCACAUCGCUCAUGCGUGGACGGCAUAGAUAGGCAGAUGAGGUGGAUGGAAUUAACUAGAAUCAGUGAAAUAGUAGAUAUGGGGAGAGCUCAUGGAGAAGUCAAUGAAGGCACUUACUCAAUCAUGCAAGAAUGAGGAGCGAGCACGCAGGAUUAGAACAGGAGUUAAUCCCUCGUAAAACGAGUCAAAACGAUGGAGGGUAUUCACUGACUCAAUAAUCAAGGGAUAAGGAAAGUGAUAAGUAUGGCGAGUGGGGAGGCAAGGGAAAAUCAAAGGAAUGGGAGGGGCCGGCACAAGCGGUGGGCGGUGGGGCUUAAUUGAAAUUACGUGAAAAGCGAGGACCCCCUUCAACAGUAAAGAAUGAGCCAGAGAUGGGGAAACGGUCGAAAGACAAGACAAACCCAAGGUGGCACGUCGUUGUUCUCAGCUGUGGGAGGUGUCAGUAAAACUCGCAUAACGCGCACCCCUCUCUUAUAUUUCCGAAAGGGCACUUUAAUGAGACUCCGGGGACAAACCGGCGGAAGGUGGGGAAGGUCAAGUCCUCAUGCCUCAUAGGCGGGGCUCCCGGUCAUACAAUGGCUGCAACAGAGGGUCCAGACGCGGGGGACCACUCCAUAAAUCCAGUAAUAGUCCGGCUGCAGUUCAAUCGCGCUGAAUUCGGAAUCUAGUAAUCGGGAUCAGAAUGUCGCGCUGAAUCGUUCCCGGGUUUGUACACACCGCCCACCACACCAGGCGAGCCGGUGCCGAAGUAGUAGUUGCAAGGAGGACGUCCACGGUCAUGGCUUCGC
rnacentral:rRNA from 1 species